UGGUACUCGGAGGGAGGUUGUCCGUGGUGAGUUCGCAUUACUUAAUGAUGCCCAAUACACGGUCGACCUCUUUUCGGUAUCACAUC
ensembl:miRNA